AUUGAACGCUGGCGGCAUGCUUUACACAUGCAAGUCGAACGGCAGCGCGGGCUUCGGCCUGGCGGCGAGUGGCGAACGGGUGAGUAAUGCAUCGGAACGUGCCCAGUAGUGGGGGAUAGCCCGGCGAAAGCCGGAUUAAUACCGCAUACGACCUGAGGGUGAAAGCGGGGGACCGAAAGGCCUCGCGCUAUUGGAGCGGCCGAUGUCGGAUUAGCUAGUUGGUGGGGCAAAGGCUUACCAAGGCGACGAUCCGUAGCUUGUCUGAGAGGACGACCAGCCACACUGGGACUGAGACACGGCCCAGACUCCUACGGGAGGCAGCAGUGGGGAAUUUUGGACAAUGGGGGCAACCCUGAUCCAGCCAUGCCGCGUGCGGGAAGAAGGCCUUCGGGUUGUAAACCGCUUUUGUUCGGGAAGAAAUCCUCUGGGCUAAUACCCCGGGGGGAUGACGGUACCGGAAGAAUAAGCACCGGCUAACUACGUG
rnacentral:rRNA from 1 species